ACCACACCCAGCUAAUUUUUGUAUUUUUUUUUUUAGUAGAGACAGGAUUUCACCAUGUUGGCCAGGAUGGUCUCAAUCUCCUGACUUCGUGAUCCGCCCGCCUUGGCCUCCCAAAGUGCUGGGAUUACAGACGUGAGCCACCGCCCUUGGCCCCUGUGACAGCUUUCUAUGAGCACUUUCAGGAGUAGGAGAUCCCCAGGUUCCAGCUUUCGACUUGGCUUUCGGAAUCACGUGAGCCAGGGAGUGAAUCCCAGCCCUGCUGCUUACCAGCAGUGCCACCCUGAAGAAGUCACUUUCCCUUCUUUGUGCCUCAGGUUCCCCAUCCAUAAAAUGGGCAUACGAAUGGUGUUCACUUCUGAGGUUUACUGUAGGGAUCCAAUGAGUUCUUUCUUUUUCUUUUCUUUUUUUCUUUUGAGACAGAAUCUUGCUCUGUCACCCAGGCUGGAGUGCAGUGGCGCAAUCUCGGCUUGCUGCAAUCUCUGCCUUCCAGGUUCAAGCAAUUCUUCUGCCUCGGCCUCCCUAGUAGCUGGGAUUACAGGCGCACGCCACCACAGCCGGCUAAAUUUUUGUGUUUUUAGUAGAGACAGGGGUUUCACCAUGUUGGCCAGGCUGGUCUCCAACUCCUGGACUCAAGUGAUCCACCCGCCUUGGCCUCCCAAACUAUUGGGAUUACAGAUGUGAGCCACCACGCCCACCCUUUUUCUUUCUUUUCUUUUCUUUUCUUUUUUUUUUUUUUUUGAGACAGGGCCUCACUCUGUUGCCCAGGCUGUAGUGCAGUGGCUCAAUCAUGGCUCACUGCAGCCUCAACUUUCUGGGUUCAAGCAAUCCUUCCACCUCAGACUCCUGAGUGGCUGAGACUACAGGUGCACACCACUACGCCUGGCUAAUUUUUGUAUUUUUUGUAGAGAUGGGGUGUCACUAUGUUGCCCAGGCUGGUCUCCAACUCCUGGACUCAAGAGAUCUGCCUGCCUCAGCCUCUCAAAGGGCUGGGAUAACAGAUGUAAGCCACUGCAUCUGGCCUCCAAUGAGUUGUUAUGUGAAGAGAACGUGAUUGUAGAAGUUAGAGGACUCCAACCAGGCCUGAACUCUCAAGGACAGAAAUGGGUCCAACCUGGCAUGACAUCCUCUAAAUCUUUAGCUCCUGGCCUCUCAGGUGCCCCCUCCAGCUACCUCCCUCUUCCUUCUCUUCAUUCCCCAAGCCAUAGCUGGUUGGGCCAACCUCCAGACAUUAGCCUCUUUGCAAACUCCUAUUCAUCCCUCAAAGCCUCACCUUCAAUGCUCUCCUCCCCAAGAAGCUCUCUCCUCUACCUCUAGACCUUUUCCAGCCCUCUUCCCUCUUUCUGGCCCAGCCCUGACUCCUGGGAGUGUCUGUGUGCAGCUUUGACUCCCCCAGCCUGAGUGUCUCUCAAGGGCUGAGACCAGGGCCCAUGUUUCCCUAGAGUUUGUCAUCUUCCAGCAUAGUGUGGACGCAUGGGGGUCAGGCAAAGGGGGAGUUUGAUGACUCAGUACUAUUGGUGAUUUUGCAUCACUUGAAGGAGACCCUGCCUUAAAUUCAGAACUUGACUUCUGCCCACGGCUAAAGUUAAUUCAUUCAACAACCCCCCAUGAAGCAAUGGAGCCAGGCUCCCUCAGGCCCAGGCAAGAAAGGGUCGUGGAGUUGGGGUCGCCAGCACUGGUUUAUGGAUUUGAGGACCUAGGACCAGAGUGAGUUGGGGAUGGGAGGAGGCAGUGCUUGAGGCCCCUCUGAGCAGCAAACCUGGACCCGAGGUUCAGUUCCCGCAGACCUAAUUACCCUAAUUUGCCACAUGCACUAAUUACCUCCUGGGUGCCAGGUGGCUGGGCGGGGCUGCCCCAAUUUCCGGAGGUAGGUCGGGGCCCGAUUAUUUUUGGCUGUGGCGUCCUUGAAGCCUCCGCCAUCAGCAGCGCUUGAAGGGCAGAAAGUGGGGCGGAGAAAUUGAGGCCACAUCAGGGGAGGCACUGCGGGAAUUGGGGGUCGGCUGGCCUUGGAGCUCCCUGAACAGGGGGCCUUGGGCCCAAGGCCUGAGAGUCUUUGGCACCUAGCCAGAGGUGGCAAGAUCUGGAGGGGCAUGGCCAGGCAC
rnacentral:lncRNA from 1 species